rnacentral:rRNA from 1 species
CUAUGGAAGCUUGCUUCCACUGAGAAGAUAGUGGCGAACGGGUGAGUAACACGUGGGUAACCUGCCCAUAAGAGGGGGAUAACAUCCGGAAACGGGUGCUAAUACCGCAUAGUUUUCUUGAUCGCAUGAUGAGAAAGGAAAGACGGCCUUUGUGCUGUCGCUUAUGGAUGGACCCGCGGCGUAUUAGUUAGUUGGUGAGGUAAUGGCUCACCAAGACGAUGAUACGUAGCCGACCUGAGAGGGUGAUCGGCCACAUUGGGACUGAGGCACGGCCCAAACUCCUACGGGAGGCAGCAGUAGGGAAUCUUCCGCAAUGGACGAAAGUCUGACGGAGCAACGCCGCGUGAGUGAAGAAAGGUUUUCGGAUCGUAAAACUCUGUUGUCAGAGAAGAACAAGUUGGAGAGUAACUGCUCCAGCCUUGACGGUAUCUGACCAGAAAGCCACGGCUAACUACGUGCCAGCAGCCGC